GUGGGUUGCCAUAUCCUCCUCCAGGGGAUCCUCCCAACUCAGGAAUUGAACCUGUGUGUCCUGCAUUGCAAGUGGAUUCUUUACUUGCUGCUCAUGGAAGCCCUGCUUAUAUGUCUAAUAUCCUUGAUAGAGUUUCUGCCAAGAGGUAUUAUGUAUUCAGUAGUAAUAGAACGCUAAAAUACCUUCUAAUAAAAUAGUUCUUUAAUGUUUUUAAAAUGCUCUUGGCUAUUUCUAAACAACUGAGGAUACACUUAGGGAAAAGCAAUGCAUAUCUAACACGUAAUCUGGCUGAGAGCAGAACUCUGAGGAAAUGAGAUACUCAAUAGUGAAACACUUGUCUUUAAGGUGAGACUUCUCUUUGUUUGAGGGUGGACCACUUGGAUGAAUUGUUUUAGUAAUGUAUUUGUAAAGAAAACAUUAAAACAUUUUUCUCAAGGAAGCCCAUAAAGUAGGGUUUGUUGUUGUUCUUCAGUCGCUAAGAUGUGUCUGAUUCUUUGUGGCCCCGUCCCUGGACUGCAACCUGCCAGGCGCCCCUGUCCUCUACUAUCUCCUGGAGUUUGCUCAAAAUAAAAUGAGGAAACUGAAAUUUGGAGAAGUUAUGUGGAUUUGCCUCACAUCCCAUAGCUAGGAAUUCAUGGAGUAGCAUUUGAGCCUCAGUGGUAUGUCUCAGAACGCGUGUAUUCAGGAAUUAGACUGUACUUAUUUAAUUUCUCUGUUCACUUAAAAAAAUACUAUCCAUUUUCUUAGAAUUGUAUCUGUUUUUUGUCUGUGUACCCCUAUCUAGUGCUAGGUAUAUAAGAAAUGUUUGGCAGAUAUUUAUGGAAAGGUUGAAUGGAUGACAGACCCUAAGGAGCAAAAUUACACACUGAAGCUCUUGGCAUAUAAUAAUUACUUAAUAAAUGUUAGCGAUUCUUAUAGUUUUGGGAAAUAAAAAUA